UACGAAGGGGGCUAGCGUUGCUCGGAAUCACUGGGCGUAAAGCGCACGUAGGCGGAUUGCUAAGUCAGGGGUGAAAUCCUGGAGCUCAACUCCAGAACUGCCUUUGAUACUGGCGACCUUGAGUCCGGGAGAGGUGAGUGGAACUGCGAGUGUAGAGGUGAAGUUCGUAGAUAUUCGCAAGAACACCAGUGGCGAAGGCGGCUCACUGGCCCGGUACUGACGCUGAGGUGCGAAGGCGUGGGGAGCAAACAGG
rnacentral:rRNA from 1 species